GGAAGACAACAAAGUGCUAAGGUCUGCAAGGCACCUUCUCUUACUUUAACACUAGAGAUUUAACACUAAGAUAUAACCAGAUCAUCUCAGGUUGUCAGACCGAGCGUUUCAGCCAUCAUCGCUUCAGUCAGAAAUGACUAGAUGAUGACGGUAACAACACAGCCGAGUCGUCGUUCAUGAAUAAUGAAGUGAACAGCACUGCUGAGUUUUCAUUCAUGGAUAGUGAUUGGAAGACUCAUCUGGACCCCAAAAUAGCUGCACUCUUAUACAGAAAAGAAAUUCUCCGGCUACAUGAGACCGGGAAGCCUCUUUUCAUGUGUAUGGAUCUAAGAUCAACUCCUAAAGAACAGGACAAACUUUUACAAGCAAAGAAAAGUGGAGUGGGCAUGUCCUGUUAAAUGCCAGCUCCAAGGCAUCACUGAAGUUACUUGCCCCUUUGAGGAAGAGCUUGACUAUUUGGUGCCUUCAUCAUCACAAUUCCUUACUGAAAGUGAUCUCUUCCUUGUAGCAGGGAGAAUGCUAGGCCACUCAUUUCUGCAUGGUGGUCCAUGUCUUGCAGGGCUCAGCAGAGCCUUUGUUCAUGUUCUGCUUCAAGGUUCUCAGGACACUUUACAGUUGGAAGAUUGCCCAGAUGUUGAAAUACGAGAGACCAUCAACUUGGUGUGUAUAUAUUUGUCAAGACUUGGUCAAAUUUUGGGAUAUUUAGAACUAUUUGGAAUUUGUUGCUAAUUUUAUAAAAAUUUUUAGCUCAGAUGUGGCCA